UACGGAGGGUGCAAGCGUUAAUCGGAAUUACUGGGCGUAAAGCGCACGUAGGUGGUUUUCUAAGUCAGCUGUGAAAUCCCCGGGCUCAACCUGGGAACUGCGUUUGAAACUACAAGGCUAGAGUGUGGCAGAGGGGGGUGGAAUUCCACGUGUAGCAGUGAAAUGCGUAGAGAUGUGGAGGAACACCGAUGGCGAAGGCAGCCCCCUGGGUUAACACUGACGCUCAGGCACGAAAGCGUGGGGAGCAAACAGG
rnacentral:rRNA from 1 species